rnacentral:pre_miRNA from 3 species
AUAGCAAUCACUUGGGGAUCUUGCUAAAAUGUAAGUUCUGAUUAAGCAGGGUUGGCAUGGGCCUGAGAUCCUGCAUUUCUGACAAGCUCCCUUGUGAUGCCACU